rnacentral:rRNA from 1 species
AACAGGAUUAGAUACCCUGGUAGUCCCAUGCCGUAAACGAUGAGUGCUAAGUGUUGGAGGGUUUCCGCCCUUUCAGUGCUGCAGCUAACGCAUUAAGCACUCCGCCUGGGGAGUACGACCGCAAGGUUGAAACUCAAAGGAAUUGACGGGGGCCCGCACAAGCGGUGGAGCAUGUGGUUUAAUUCGAUGCUACGCGAAGAGCCUUACCAGGUCUUGACAUCUUCUGCCAACNUAAGAGAUUAGGCGUUCCCUUCGGGGACAGAAUGACAGGUGGUGCAUGGUUGUCGUCAGCUCGUGUCGUGAGAUGUUGGGUUAAGUCCCGCAACGAGCGCAACCCUUAUUGUUAGUUGCCAGCAUUCAGUUGGGCACUCUAGCAAGACUGCCGGUGACAAACCGGAGGAAGGUGGGGAUGACGUCAAAUCAUCAUGCCCCUUAUGACCUGGGCUACACACGUGCUACAAUGGACGGUACAACGAGUCGCGAAACCGCGAGGUCAAGCUAAUCUCUUAAAGCCGUUCUCAGUUCGGAUUGUAGGCUGCAACUUGCCUACAUGAAGUUGGAAUCGCUAGUAAUCGUGGAUCAGCAUGCCACGGUGAAUACGUUCCCGGGCCUUGUACACACCGCCCGUCACACCAUGAGAGUUUGUAACACCCAAAGCCGGUGAGGUAACCUUCGGGGACCAGCCGUCUAAGGUGGGACAGAUGAUUAGGGUGAAGUCGUAACAAGGUAACC